ensembl:misc_RNA Metazoa_SRP Metazoan signal recognition particle RNA
GCUGGGUGAGGUGGCUCACACCUGUAAUCUCAGCACCUUGGGAGGCUGAGUCAGGUGGAUCACCUGAGGUCAGGAGUUCGAAACCAGCCUGAUCAACAAGGUGAAACCCUGUCUCUA